rnacentral:rRNA from 1 species
GUUGACCUCGGAUCAGGUAGGGAUACCCGCUGAACUUAAGCAUAUCAAUAAGCGGAGGAAAAGAAACCAACAGGGAUUGCCUCAGUAACGGCGAGUGAAGCGGCAUCAGCUCAAAUUUGAAAUCUGGCCUCACGGUCCGAGUUGUAAUUUGUAGAGAAUGCUUCGGGCGAGGUCCGGUCUAAGUUCCUUGGAACAGGACGUCAUAGAGGGUGAGAAUCCCGUAUGCGACCGGGUGCCUUUGUCCAUGUGAAGCUUCUUCGACGAGUCGAGUUGUUUGGGAAUGCAGCUCAAAAUGGGUGGUAAAUUUCAUCUAAAGCUAAAUACUGGCCAGAGACCGAUAGCGCACAAGUAGAGUGAUCGAAAGAUGAAAAGCACUUUGGAAAGAGAGUUAAACAGU